rnacentral:rRNA from 1 species
GACGAACGCUGGCGGCGUGCCUAAUACAUGCAAGUCGAACGAGAGCGACCGGUGCUUGCACUGGUCAAUCUAGUGGCGAACGGGUGAGUAACACGUGGGUAACCUGCCCAUCAGAGGGGGAUAACAUUCGGAAACGGAUGCUAAAACCGCAUAGGUCUUCGAACCGCAUGGUUUGAAGAGGAAAAGAGGCGCAAGCUUCUGCUGAUGGAUGGACCCUCGGUGCAUUAGCUAGUUGGUGAGGUAACGGCUCACCAAGGCCGUGAUGCAUAGCCGACCUGAGAGGGUGAUCGGCCACAUUGGGACUGAGACACGGCCCAAACUCCUACGGGAGGCAGCAGUAGGGAAUCUUCCGCAAUGGACGCAAGUCUGACGGAGCAACGCCGCGUGAGUGAAGAAGGUUUUCGGAUCGUAAAACUCUGUUGUUAGAGAAGAACAAGUGCUAGAGUAACUGUUAGCGCCUUGACGGUAUCUAACCAGAAAGCCACGGCUAACUACGUG